CACCCUUCCCCUCCAGAAUGUUCUGCAACUGCUCCAAGCCAUCCAGGAACCGAGCACCAGGAAGGCAACACAUCAUCCUGAACUCUCAUUUGCAGCUACAGAAAUGCAGAGCAAACUAGACAUUGACAAUUCUCAAAAUGGACUUCAGAGUGGGUUCCUGGCAAUUUCAGCUUGCCAAUUGUUCUAAAAGAGCUUCAUGUUUGACGUAACUAUAAAUUCUGUGUUACGAUCGAGCCCU